AAUCCAGAUGCUGACGAGCCUCAAUUGUGCUUCUUCAUAUUUAGUGUAAAUCCAAACAGCAACGCUCCUGAGUUUGUGUCCCACGUCACCUUCAGUCCGCUCAGAGCAGAGGAAUCAUUUCCAUAGAGAGGAGGCUUUGCAUCGUCAGCUGAUCCUCCACUGAACUGAGAAGCUUUAUAGUCCUGUGACUCCAACUCUGCAGGACUCAGACCCGUCAGUCGACCACAACCACCAUGACUCUCAUCACCCUCCUCAUCUGGACGCUGGCCUGCUGCAGCUUCACAGGAUGCAGCGGCCAGGUGACUGUGACUCAGCCUCCAGUCGUGACCUUUACUCCAGGAUCCACUGUCACACUGACCUGUAACACCAACCCCAAAGUUGCAAAAUGUAGUUCUGUUGAUUGUAUGUACUGGUACCAGCAGAAACCUGGACAGGCUCCACAGCUCCUAAUAUACAGGGUGAGCAAUAGACAAUCAGGAAUACCGGCUCGGUUUAGUGGAAGUGGAAGCAGCUCUGACUUCUCUUUGACCAUCAGUGGAGUUCAGAGUGAAGAUGCAGCAGUUUACUACUGUAAGAGUAUCCAUGUGGUAAACGGAGCAGAUGUGUACACUUUCGGUGGAGGAACCAAACUCGACAAAGACUUGGGUGUGGUGCGGCCCACCCUGACCCUCCUCCCCCCCUCCAGUGAAGAGCUGAAGCAGGGCACUGCCACUCUGGUGUGUAUGGCCAGCGGGGGGUUCCCCUCAGCCUGGAGCCUGGGCUGGAAGGUGGGGGGCAGCAGCAGCUCCUCAGGGGUGUCUCACACCCCGGGGGUCCUGGAGGGAACCGGCCACUACAGCUGGAGCAGCACCUUGAGCCUCCCUGCAGACCAGUGGAGGAAGGCGGGCUCAGUGAGCUGUGAGGCCAGUCUGGACGGACAGAGCCCUGUCACUCAAACCCUGGACCCUGACCUCUGCUCGGAGUAGAGAGACGACCGGAUGGAGUCAUUGUGCUCUACUGUGGGUCUGUUUGAUUUACAUGUGUUCUACUGCAGCUCUGCAUGUCUUCAUGUCUUUUCUUCAACUCAUUAUGACAGUCCAACUCUGUAUUGUGCUACUUUCGAAACAAGAAUAAAUAUUCCAUGUUCUCAUGUCAUUUGUUUUUCACAUUUCUAUUUUUACUUUACUAAAAUAAAAUAUAUCAUCACCAA